GUUUUUUUUAGCUCACCUUGCACAAAGUGCAGGUGAGCUUUUAGGAUGGCCAACCAAAUGGCGUCCGUCGUCUGUCGUCCGUCCACAUUUUAAAUAUUCUAAGGACAUCUUCUAUGAUACCGCAAGGCCAAUGUUAAUGAAACUUGGCAGGAAUACUCUUUGUAUGAAGCUCUAUCAAGAUUGUUCAAAGAAUUCCAUUUCAUGCAGAACUCUGGUUGCCAUGGCAACCGAAAGAAAAAACUUAAAAAAUCUUCUUUUAAAGAACCCAAAGAGCUAGAGCUAAGAUAUUUAGCGUGAAACAUCUUCUAAUGAGUGUCUACCAAGUUUUUUCAAAUAAAAGCCCUGAGGUCAAAAUUGGCCCUGCCCCAGGGGGUCAUAGAUUUUCCCUAUAUGCAUAUAGUAAAAACUUAAAAAAUCUUCUUUUAAAGAACCCAAAGAGCUAGAGCUAAGAUAUUUGACAUGAAAUAUCUUCUAGUGAGUGUCUACCAAGUUUGUUCAAAUAAAAGUCCUGGGGUCAAAAUUGGCCCCUUCCCGGGGGGUCAUUGAUUUUCCCUAUAUGCAUAUAGUAAAAACUUAAAAAAUCUUCUUUAAAAGAACCGUAAGAGCUAGAGCUUAGAUAUUUAGCAUGAAACAUCUUCUAGUGAAUGUCUACCAAGUUUGUUCAAAUAAAAGCCCUGGGGUCAAAAUUGGCCCCUUCCCAGGGGGUCAUAGAUUUUCCCUAUAUGCAUAUAGUAAAAACUUAAAAAAUCUUCUUUUAAAGAACCCAAAGAGCUAGAGCUAAGAUAUUUAGCAUGAAACAUCUUCUAAUGAGUGUCUACCAAGUUUGUUCAAAUAAAAGCCCUGGGGUCAAAAUUGGCCCCGCCCCAGGGGGUCAUUGAUUUUCCCUAUAUGCAUAUAGUAAAAACUUAAAAAAUCUUCUUUUAAAGAACUCAAAGAGCUAGAGCUAAGAUAUUCAGCAUGAAACAUCUUCUAGUGAGUGUCUACCAAGUAUGUUCAAAUAAAAGCCCUGGGGUCAAAAUUGGCCCUGCCCCGGGGGUCAUUGAUUUUCCUUAUAUGUGUAUAGCAAAAACUUAAAAAUCUUCUUUGAAAAAACCCAAAUAGCUUGAGUUUAGAUAUUAUACAUGAAACAUCUUUAAGUAAAUAUCUACAAAGUUUGUUCAAAUAAAAGCCCGGGGGUCAAAACUGGCCCUGCCCCAGGGGUGUCAUUGUUUUUAACUAUAUGUGUAUAGUAAAAACUUAAAAAUCUUCUUUUAAAAAACCCAAUGAGCUAGAACUUAGAUGUUUAGCAUGAAGCAUCUUCUUAUGGGUGUCUACCAAGUUUGUUCAAAUAAAAGCCCUUGGGUAAAAAUUGGCCCGGGGGGCUAUAUACAGGUGAGCGACCUCAGGGCCAUCAUGGCCCUCUUGUUUAUUCUUGACAUUUACAUUUGCUUCAGCUUUGACAUUUUGUCACUUGGGGCUUAAGUUAUGUCAAUUGUUACUAACUUAUGCACCAUUUAUUCAGUAAAGUUUAAUGUCUUAUCAAAAGUCAGUGGUUCUACUUGGGAGUUAGCUUGUGCCUGAAAUAAUGUGUGGAAGGUCAUCUGAGAUCCUGAAAUAAUGCACAGAAGGUCACCUGAGGUCAUGAAAUAAUGCACGGAAGGGCAUCUGAGGUCCUGAAAUAAUGCACAGAAGGUCCCAUGAGGUUCUGAAAUAAUGCACGGAAGGGCAUCUGAGGUCCUGAAAUAAUGCACAGAAGGUCCCAUGAGGUUCUGAAAUAAUGCACAGAAGGUCAACUGAGAUCCUGAAACAAUGCACAGAAGGUCAUCCGAGGUCCUGAAAUAAUGCACCGAAGGUCACCCGAGGUCCUGAAAUAAUACACUGAAGGUAACCUGAGGUCCUGAAAUAAUACACUGAAGGUAACCUGAGGUUCUGAAAUAAUGCACCGAAGGUCACCCAAGGUCCUGAAAUAAUACACUGAAGGUAACCUGAGGUCCUGAAAUAAUACACUGAAGGUAACCUGAGGUCCUGAAAUAAUACACUGAAGGUAUCCUGAGGUCCUCAAAUAAUGUACAGAAGGUCACCUUAGGUCCUGAAAUAAUGUUACAGAAGGUCACCUGAGGUCUUGAAAUAAUGCACUCUGAGAUCCUGAAAUAAUGCAUGGAAGGUCAACUGAGAUCCUGAAAUAAUGCAUGAUAGGGCACAUGAGCUCUUCCUCCGUUAGUAAAGCUGGAAAGUUGCCAUAUGACCUUCACUGUGUUGGUGCGACUUAAAAACCCAAUCAAAAUAAACAAAAAUUAUCAGAAAUUUAUAAAAGGUUUUGUCUGCAUACUUUCAUUGUAAACAAAUUUGUUUAAAGCAUUGCAGAAAUUCAGACAAAAGAAUGCAGUGUUUUCAGACAGGGUUGUUUGAAGACAUAUAGAAUGCUUAAACUGUAUAAUAGUAAUACUGUAGAUUAUGUAGAGAUGCUGUCAGUACAGAUAAGAUAUAUAUUACUGUAUAUUUAUGUUAUUUAAUGGGAUCACCAUGUUCCUGAAAUGCCUCAUAUUGCUGUAGAAGCAUUACUUGAAUAAAUCAGAGAUUUUAGUUAUAGAAAUUGUUAAUUAGAAUUAGCCAUUAAGAAAACAAUUGAGCCAAUUAUACCCAGAUAUUUAUGUAUGAAUGUAGUAUAAUAUAUAAUAAUAUAUUUAUGACUAUUAGUUUUGCCUGGUUGUCUGUUCCAUAGUUAAAAGCCGGAAAUGCACGCCAUAUUGUGUGGCUUUAAAGUCCAAUUUGAAAAUCGUAUUGUUUUUGGGUAUGGGCAAACUUGUCUCCAUAUUUCCUCUCAACCUUUUAUAUUUAUACAGGUUAAAAUAUAUCAGCAAUUAAAAAUUUAGAUAAAAAAAUCUUGUAAAAAUUGUAAUCAAUAUUGUAUGGAUAGUUUCCUUUAAUCACAAAUAUCACAAUGAGCUUAUCAAGGACACAUUAGUGUACAAGUAUUUCUCAAGUUUUUUUGUGUUUUUUUUGAAAAUAAAUCUUUGAGUUGUGCUUUAUUUCCUCACUGCUUUGAAAUCAUUUCAAAUGAAUGAAUGCUAGAUAAAUUCUAACAAUUUCCUUUAAUGCAUGUAUGUAUAUUUGGAGGACAUCAUCUGGCCAAGUAUACCAACAUAAUUAUAAAAAAACAUGUCACAAACUAAGGGGGAAUAAUUUGGUGAGGUGGAUCAUUUCUGUAGGGUA